rnacentral:lncRNA from 1 species
GUCCUCCAGCUCUCCCACGCUGCGCAGGAGACGCUCGUCGCCACCGGCGUCGUCAUCUCCCACGUCCCAAGCAGUUGCGUCUUCCCGUCCCAUCUCAUUUCCGUUACAUUCCCUUCUGUCUGUGCAAUUCUCUAUUAAGCUUUGUUUGGUACAAGAGUAUUUAAGAAGUUUUGGGAGGAGGGGAUUUGGGAGGAUUCGGUGAAUCCCUCCCUUUCACCCAAUCCUCUCAAAUCCCCCGAAUCCUUAAACCCCCUACAUACCUUUAUUAUUUGGUACACAAGGAUUGAUACAUAGGGUUUGCAAUAUUAUUAUGCUAUAAUUAAAAAUGUAAUUUUUACUACUUCAAAAGCUCACAGAAGAAAUGUAUUUGCAACAAAGGCGCACGCAACUAGAUUAGGCAAAACAACAGCUCAUAUAAUUUGUUACAAGUACUAUCAACGAUUCAAAUGAAAACGAUGCAUGCAUACAUGCCUCGGUCCAAAUGAAAAUAUGACACAUUCCACGGUCCAAAUGAAAAAUAUAAGAUGUUCGAUCAACGAAAGUCAACUGUUCAUCACAACAUGAACACAUGGAUCAUUUGAGACGCAACUUCUACUACCACACAUGUAGUCAACUAAACUCUAUACACAAUUGCCGAGUACUGCUACAAUACUAUGCUAAGUUGCUAACAUUAUCAUAUCAUUUUGUAGCCAUGGUAACAUUUCAUUUUUUUUGUUUUUGUUUUUGUUUUUAUUUCUCUAUGACUCAAAGGGGUUUCAAAUUUUCGGUCAACGACCACUUCUUUUUCGUGUCCGCUCUGUAUUUUCUCUGUGUCUGUUUCCGGUAGUAUCUGUUUCUGUAUUCAUUUCUGGAGUUUGUAUAUUUGUUUCCGCUUCCGCAAUCUAGGUCAAGCCUAUUUAGUAAAAACAAUUUCCAGAAAUAAUAACUAUGUUUUCGUAAAAUGAUCUAGUACUAAGAACCAAAAAUUGAUUAGCUUAAGCAAGUGCAGAAUGAAAAUGAAAAUGGAGUUCUGUUCAUAAAACUAGAUAUUAUAAAAUGAAAAUGAAGAAGCACGGUAGCGCUCUCUUCGUAUUCGGCGGCAGAAUUGAGAAAGAUCUCACGGAUCCCAGCAUUGGGCCUAAUAGCAUAUCUCAACCUAUGUCCAGAAACCCACUGAAUCUGCAAAUCUGACAAGAAAUCAUCUGUCUCUGUGUACAGGGAAGAUGAAAAGGUGUACAUGUCCCUUGUUCUUGUCCAGAAAUCCAUCGAUCUGCGUGGGGAUACAACAACCUGUGCGAGGCCAUAAAUUAAACUAGAACCAAAAUAAUACCCCCAACCCAUGACACUAGGGAACAAACAGUGCUCCAGAUCGAUGGAUUCUGUCAGACAAAACCACACUCUCUUGCUUCUAGUCCAGAACUUUGGGAUUUUUUAUUUUAGUUGAUAGAUAAAACUAAGCAUUGUUCAUGUGCAAAAGUUCAUCCAGGGACCUUGAUUUACUGUCAAUGUAAAAGCUCAUCCAGAAACAACUUAAUUUCUGUUAACAUUCACUCAUAUCCAAAUUCAAAUCAAUGGACUUGUUCUCACAAGAGCCGGGUUCCGCUGAUUUUCAGGAGAGGAGAGGGAUGGCCAUGGAGGCAGCCAGUCUCAUCCACGGACCCAGUAAACUGCUGCAGAUAGGAGCCAUGGCCGCUGGGUGCAGGAUGAGGAGCAAGAAGAGCCAGUCCUAGGGUUUGCAGGGGAGGGAAUGGAGAAGUGGAGAAAUCACCUCG